rnacentral:lncRNA from 1 species
UUUAAUCAAUGCUUGAAAUAGCAUAAUUUUUGUUUUUCAAACUCGUGAAACAAAUGAAUGUUUUGUAUCCAGUGUGUAACCUGAGAGGUGUUAAAUUGUAAAUCCUAUUAUGCAUUUGAUAACAAAUAAUAAAUACAAAAUACGAGGACUUGAGUAGCAUAUACUCGAAACUAUUGUACUUUAGAUGUAUAUCAUUCAGGAAUAACGCUUUUUGACAAAAUAAACAAAAAAAAAUCCGUUGAACUGAUAACUUUUGCUGACGUGGGAACAUCUCGUCCCGUAGUGGAUAAGCAUGUAAAUUAUCCAUUCGAAACAGAUCCCAUGCUACUCGCCGUCUCGCUUCCAUCACCACCUACUCUGCUUACCAAUUUUAGUGUGUUUUCUGGCACAAUAAAUAAUCAAAUACUAGCACGUAUAAUAUCAUGUAAAAUUAUUGUUUCCCUAUUUAUGUUUUCGUUAGGGACGAUGAAGUUAAAGCAUGGGUCCACGUUAUGUCGCGUUUCAGUCUCCCUACUCAUCAAGUGGCAAAACUAUACUUGAUUUAUUCGAACGUGAAGUAGAUGACAAGAUUUUCGGUUAGUUAAGUUUCGUAGUUUGGACAUAGCAGGAUAUUAGGUGCUUGUUUUUAUUUAUGGUGUCGCUUGUGCAUCUGCAAGGACAUAUUUCUUAAAACGAUUGUUAGAAAUACCAGGUGUAUGGUAUUAUCCUUUUUAUAACAAAAGAAAUGUGAUUUUUUGUUGUUGUUUUCUGGAAUGUACGUUUCAGAUUGAGCACAUAUGGCUACCAAGGGUUUAUUAAGAUAACUCGUAGGUGGAAUUCUCUCAGCUGUUACAUGUGAUGGAGAUGGGAACAUUCAAACCCAUGCAUGAACAUCCAUGCAACAAAAUUAAACAUAAGUAAUUGGUUACUCCUAGCAACAUCAGUGAUAAUGUAAGAAACAUAUAACUUAGAGAAUCAUUAGCGAUGGGAAACCAUGUUGAAUUUCUCGAUUAUUGAAUGGCUAAAAGUUUAUUUAUUAUGAGAAAUCUUCCAAAGAAACUCCUAUAUAGCCAAUGGCCUUAGAUAGAAAUGUGAAAUAUAAAUAAUUUGUAGAUGCUUAUAGAAUAUAAUGAAAAGUGAAGAGUGUUUCAGGAAUAAGCUGCGAAUAGAAAUAUUCAUGUGGCAUCUUGGACUACUGACCAACUUGGUUUACCUGGUUACAAUCAGCCGUAGCUCGAGAAGCAUCAAUUGUUUCCGUUGUAUUCAAUGGAGCAGAACGGGUUUUCUUUUCUCCCUUUUCUUAUCCAGAUGACCUCAAAUGCCGAGGAAGCUGCUCCGUUCACUUAUGAGACAGUGCAGGAGAUGACUGAAAGCCAUGUUUGACGAGAGUUGUUUGGAUGGUUAAUACAAUCUAGUGGUCCAGAUGACAGCUUAUAUGGAUACAAUGUAAUGAAUUUUAGGGAAUAUGUUCUGAAAGUUAUGAUGGAUACCAAUAACAGAUAGAACAAUAGCAAUACCAAAAAAGCAAGCAACUUGUAU